rnacentral:rRNA from 1 species
GUCCACGCCCUAAACGAUGUCAACUGGUUGUCGGGGAAGCAAUUCCUUGGUAACGAAGCUAACGCGUGAAGUUGACCGCCUGGGGAGUACGGCCGCAAGGUUAAAACUCAAAGGAAUUGACGGGGACCCGCACAAGCGGUGGAUUAUGUGGAUUAAUUCAUGCAACGCGAAAACCUUACCUACCCUUGACAUGUACGGAACCUCGCAGAGAUGUGAGGGUGCCCGAAAGGGAGCCGUAACACAGGUGCUGCAUGGCUGUCGU